UACGAAGGGGGGCUAGCGUUGCUCGGAAUCACUGGGCGUAAAGGGUGCGUAGGCGGGUUUUUAAGUCAGGGGUGAAAUCCUGGAGCUCAACUCCAGAACUGCCUUUGAUACUGAGGAUCUUGAGUUCGGGAGAGGUGAGUGGAACUGCGAGUGUAGAGGUGAAAUUCGUAGAUAUUCGCAAGAACACCAGUGGCGAAGGCGGCUCACUGGCCCGAUACUGACGCUGAGGCACGAAAGCGUGGGGAGCAAACAGG
rnacentral:rRNA from 1 species